rnacentral:rRNA from 1 species
AGGACGAACGCUGGCGGCGUGCUUAACACAUGCAAAUCGAGCGGAAAGGCCCUUCGGGGUACUCGAGCGGCGAACGGGUGAGUAACACGUGAGUAAUCUGCCCUUAGCUCUGGGAUAGCUCCGGGAAACCGGGAUUAAUACCAGAUAUGACCACACUAGACAUCUGGUGUGGUGGAAAGGAUUCCGGCUAGGGAUGAGCUCGCGGCCUAUCAGCUUGUUGGUGGGGUAACGGCCUACCAAGGCGACGACGGGUAGCCGGCCUGAGAGGGCGACCGGCCACACUGGGACUGAGACACGGCCCAGACUCCUACGGGAGGCAGCAGUGGGGAAUAUUGCGCAAUGGGCGAAAGCCUGACGCAGCGACGCGCGUGGGGAUGAAGGCCUCGGGUUGUAACUGCUUUAUAGAGGAAGAUUAUGACGGUACUCUAUGAAUAAGGACCGGCUAACUACGCGCCAGCAGCCGC